UACGGGGGGAGCAAGCGUUGUUCGGAUUUACUGGGCGUAAAGGGCGCGUAGGCGGCCACCGCAAGUCAAUUGUGAAAUCUCCGGGCUCAACCCGGAAAGGUCAACUGAUACUGCGGGGCUAGAGUGCAGAAGGGGCAACUGGAAUUCUCGGUGUAGCGGUGAAAUGCGUAGAUAUCGAGAGGAACACCUGCGGCGAAGGCGGGUUGCUGGGCUGACACGUGACGCUGACAGCGCGAAAGCUAGGGGAGCGAACGGG
rnacentral:rRNA from 1 species